UGAGUGUGAUACCAACGCAGAUCUGGAUCCACUGAUUUCUGACUUGAACAGUAAAGGCAAACUGACUGUCACCGUGACGCUUGGCUGAAGAUUUCCAAGGUAGUGAUUAAUUGGAAGAUAACGCACGAGUAACAUGUGAUUGGACCGUCAAGCAUAACGUGUCAACAUUGUCAAGGUGACCCUCAUCAGACCACGUGAUGGCAGCAGACUACUACGGAGUCCGACUUGAAAAUGAAACCUGUCGAAUGUGGAUGCAACCAGGGCAAUCAGGCUACCCGAUUAGCUAAUCAUACUAAUUGGAGGAUCAUUAGAGUUAACGGUUAUGGCAUACAGAAUCUUAAGCAAUUAUUGAUUAUACCCUGUCUUGAUACUUCAUGAAUAACUUAUAUUUGUGGUCGAAGCACAUGGAGCCCCAAAAAUUUGACGCCUUGUGUGCCCUCACCAUUUAAUAUAAUAAAAAGGGGGCUUUCUGAUGAUGGAAAUAUGAUGGAUUAUUAUGUUUAAACAGUCUAUGCAAUACAAAAUACAGCAUAAAAUUAUACAGCGUACAACCAACAAGCUAUGUUUUAACUUGGGCUCCUUCAUUUCCUCAUUUCCAAUUUUACUGAAGUCCUUAAUUUACAAGUAACUACAAA